AGGACGAACGCUGGCGGCGCGCUUAACACAUGCAAGUCGAACGUGAAACCCGGGCUUGCCCGGGCGGAAAGUGGCGAACGGGUGCGUAACACGUGAGGAACGUGCCCCGAAGACCGGGAUAACUCGAGGAAACUCGUGCUAAUACCGGAUGUCCUCACCGGAUCGCAUGGUCUGGUGAGGAAAUGGAUUCCGCUUCGGGAUCGCCUCGCGGCCUAUCAGCUUGUUGGUGGGGUAAUGGCCUACCAAGGCAACGACGGGUAGCUGGUCUGAGAGGAUGUCCAGCCACACUGGGACUGAGACACGGCCCAGACUCCUACGGGAGGCAGCAGUGGGGAAUCUUGCACAAUGGGCGAAAGCCUGAUGCAGCGACGCCGCGUGCGGGAUGAAGGCCCUCGGGUCGUAAACCGCUUUCAGCAGGGACGAUAGUGACGGUACCUGCAGAAGAACGCCCCGGCCAACUACGUGCCAGCAGCCGC
rnacentral:rRNA from 1 species